CUCUUCCUUGUGGAAAGAAACCGAAAAAACCCAGUCUGUGAAAAACAAAACUGCGAAAUACUGAAGGAAACUUAGGACAUUUGCGCUUCGCGGAUGGCGAAUCUUCCUCAAUCGCUCUCCAUGAAUUCACCAUUUGGUGCCCCCAGCGCCCCCACUCCUACUGCCGCCGGUGCUCCAGCCAACAAGGACCGGAAGAUGGCUUCAGCAGAGCACUUGGUGCUCGACCUAAGUAACCCAGAUCUUCGAGAAAACGCUCUUCUCGAGCUCUCUAAGAAAAGAGAGAAUUAUUUCAAGAUUUGGCUCCUUUCGUGUGGAAUUCUUUUGGUACUAUUGCUGCACUCAUGCAGGAGAUAGUUUCAAUAUAUCCAGUUUUAUCGCCACCAAACCUCUCUCCUGCACAAUCAAAUCGAGUUUGCAAUGCUCU
rnacentral:misc_RNA from 1 species